CCUACGGGGGGCAGCAGUGGGGAAUAUUGCACAAUGGGGGAAACCCUGAUGCAGCGACGUCGCGUGAAGGAAGAAGUAUGUCGGUAUGUAAACUUCUAUCAGUAGGGAAGAAAAUGACGGUACCUGACUACGAAGCCCCGGCUAUCUACGUGCCAGCAGCCGCGGUAAUACGUAGGGAGCAAGCGUUAUCCGGAUGUACUGGGUGUAAAGGGAGCGUAGGCGGUUAUGCAAGUCAGAAGUGAAAGCCCGGGGCUCAACUCCGGGACUGCUUUUGAAACUGGGUUGCUAGAUUGCAGGAGAGGUAAGUGGAAUUCCUAGUGUAGCGGGUAAAUGCGUAGAUAUUACGAGGAACGCCAGUUGCGAAGGCGGCUUACUGGACUGUAAAUGACGCUGAGGCUCGAAAGCGUGGGGAGCAAACAGGAUUAGAUACCCUAGUAGUC
rnacentral:rRNA from 1 species